CAGUCGCCACGGUAAAACGAAGGGGGCUAGCGUUGCUCGGAAUGACUGGGCGUAAAGGGCGCGUAGGCGGCGAUCAAAGUCAGGCGUGAAAUUCCUGGGCUCAACCUGGGGGCUGCGCUUGAUACUUGGUUGCUUGAGUGGGGAAGAGGGUCGUGGAAUUCCCAGUGUAGAGGUGAAAUUCGUAGAUAUUGGGAAGAACACCGGUGGCGAAGGCGGCGACCUGGUCCUUGACUGACGCUGAGGCGCGAAAGCGUGGGGAGCAAACAGGAUUAGAGACCCCGGUAGUCCCUGUCUCUUAUAC
rnacentral:rRNA from 1 species